GAGGGUAUAGCUCAGUGGUAGAGCUUGUGCUUAGCAUGCACGAGAUCCUGGGUUUAGUCCCCAGUACCCUCA
rnacentral:tRNA from 1 species